rnacentral:rRNA from 1 species
AGCGAACGCUGGCGGCAGGCCUAACACAUGCAAGUCGAGCACCCGUAGCAAUACGGGAGCGGCAGACGGGUGAGUAACACGUGGGAACGUACCCUUCGGUUAGGAAUAAACCAGGGAAACUUGGACUAAUACCGGAUAAGUCCGUAAGGAGAAAGAUUUAUCGCCGAAGGAUCGGCCCGCGUCCGAUUAGCGUGUGGGUGGGGUAAUGGCCCACCAAGGCUACGAUCGGUAGCUGGUCUGAGAGGAUGAUCAGCCACUCUGGGACUGAGACACGGCCCAGACUCCUACGGGAGGCAGCAGUGAGGAAUAUUGGACAAUGGGCGCAAGCCUGAUCCAGCCAUGCCGCGUGGGUGAUGAAGGCCCUAGGGUUGUAAAGCCCUUUCGGCGGGGAAGAUAAUGACGGUACCCGCAGAAGAAGCCCCGGCUAACUUCGUGCCAGCAGCCGCGGUAA